AAAAUUGUGAACACCAUCAGAAAAGAGGUUGAGAUAACCAAAGACAAGGCUUGAACGUGAUUUAGCCUGUUCCUCUCCAGUUGAUGUAGAAUUGGUAGAGCAAUUUGCAGCAUCUAAAGCAGUAUUGUCUUCAGCAGCACUGGAGCCAGUAUUCCUCUUCCGUAGAAUAGCUCCUCCAUUUGGUUUCUCCCCAUUGGGAGAGUCAGUAGACACUCCAUCCACUCUACUCCCUCCAGCUACCUUUUCUGAUGAACUUCCAUCUUUCUCCUGAGACAGUUCCCGGAGAUUGUCAUCAGCAUCAUUAUCAUCCUUCAACUUUGUGUAGUGCAUAUGAUGAUGGUGAUGAUGACCAUGACUCCGCUCAUUGACUCCUCCAGAAAACUCUUCAACAUACCUCACAAGCUUCUCAACAAUAAGAAAGAGCACAAUUCCAGCCAAAAUGGACAAUCCAACAGAAAGAUCCUCCAAUGAAUGGGCGUGUGAAUGACCAGAGUGAUCAUGAAGAUGGUCAUCAUGUGAGUGGGAGUGCCCACCACCAAAAGCAUGUGGCACUUGGUGAAGGAAAGCAUCCCCCAGCAUGGCUCCUGCCCCAAAUAAUGCUAAAGAAUCUACAACUGCUUUUGACGGCUUCCCGUGUAUAAAUAUUAAAGGCAAAAGAAUCAGGCAGAUAAGGGAAGCCA
rnacentral:misc_RNA from 1 species